AGAGUUUGAUCAUGGCUCAGAACGUACGCUGGCGGCACGCCUUAUACAUGCAAGUCGAACGAAGUAGCAAUACUUAGUGGCAGACGGGUGAGUAACAUGUAGGUAUCUUCCCUUUGGUGAGGAAUAACACGAGGAAACUUGUGCUAAUACCUCAUAAGUCUUCACGGAGAAAGCUUUAUGCGCCGAAGGAUGAGCCUGCACUUGAUUAGUUUGUUGGUGGGGUAAUGGCCUACCAAGACUUUGAUCAAUAGCUGAUCUGAGAGGAUGAUCAGCCACAUUGGGACUGAGACACGGCCCAAACUCCUACGGGAGGCAGCAGUAGGGAAUAUUGCACAAUGGAGGAAACUCUGAUGCAGCGAUGCCGCGUGAGUGAAGAAGGCCUUUGGGUUGUAAAGCUCUUUCGUCGGGGAAGAAAAUGACUGUACCCGAAUAAGAAGGUCCGGCUAACUUCGUGCCAGCAGCCGCGGUAAUACGAAGGGACCUAGCGUAGUUCGGAAUUACUGGGCUUAAAGAGUUCGUAGGUUGUUAAAAAAGUUGGUGGUGAAAUCCCAGAGCUUAACUCUGGAACUGCCAUCAAAACUUUUUAGCUAGAGUAUGAUAGAGGAAAGCAGAAUUUCUAGUGUAGAGGUGAAAUUCGUAGAUAUUAGAAAGAAUACCAAUUGCGAAGGCAGCUUUCUGGAUCAUUACUGACACUGAGGAACGAAAGCAUGGGUAGCGAAGAGGAUUAGAUACCCUGGUAGUCCACGCCGUAAACGAUGACAACUAGCCGUUGGGCAGAUUUAACUGUUCAGUGGCACAGCUAACGCAUUAAGUUGUCCGCCUGGGGAGUACGGCCGCAAGGCUAAAACUCAAAUGAAUUGACGGGGGCCCGCACAAGUGGUGGAGCAUGUGGUUUAAUUCGAUGCAACGCGAAGAACCUUACCAAUCCUUGAAAUCUAGCGAAGCUCGCAGAGAUGUGAAUGUGCCUUCGGGAACGCUAUGACAGGUGUUGCAUGGCUGUCGUCAGCUCGUGUCGUGAGAUGUAUGGUUAAGUCCAGUAACGAGCGCAACCCCUAUCCUUAUUUGCCAGCGCGUAAUGGCGGGAACUAUAGGGAGACUGCCGGGUGAAACCCGGAGGAAGGCGGGGACGAGGUCAAGUCAUCAUGGCCCUUACGAGUAGGGCUACACACGUGCUACAAUGGGGAAUACAGACGGACGCUAAGCCGCGAGGUGGUGCUAAUCCUAUAAAGUUCUUCGUAGUCCGGAUUGGAGUCUGCAACUCGACUCCAUGAAGUCGGAAUCGCUAGUAAUCGCGAAUCAGCAUGUCGCGGUGAAUACGUUCUCGGGUCUUGUACACACCGCCCGUCACACCAUGGAAGUGGAUUGCACCAGAAGUAGAUAGUCUAACCUUCGGGAGGGCGUUUACCACGGUGUGCUUCAUGACUGGGGUGAAGUCGUAACAAGGUAACCGUA
rnacentral:rRNA from 1 species